UACACAUGCAAGUCGAACGGCAGCACAGGAGAGCUUGCUCUCUGGGUGGCGAGUGGCGGACGGGUGAGGAAUAUAUCGGAAUCUACCCUUUCGUGGGGGAUAACGUAGGGAAACUUACGCUAAUACCGCAUACGAACUGAGGUUGAAAGCGGCGGACCGCAAGGCGUCGCGCGGAUGGAUGAGCCGAUAUCCGAUUAGCUAGUUGGCGGGGCAAAGGCCCACCAAGGCGACGAUCGGUAGCUGGUCUGAGAGGAUGAUCAGCCACACUGGAACUGAGACACGGUCCAGACUCCUACGGGAGGCAGCAGUGGGGAAUAUUGGACAAUGGGCGCAAGCCUGAUCCAGCCAUGCCGCGUGUGUGAAGAAGGCCUUCGGGUUGUAAAGCACUUUUGUUGGGAAAGAAAAGCGGUCGGUUAAUACCCGGUCGUUCUGACGGUACCCAAAGAAUAAGCACCGGCUAACUUCGUGCCAGCAGCCGCGGUAAUACGAAGGGUGCAAGCGUUACUCGGAAUUACUGGGCGUAAAGCGUGCGUAGGUGGUUUGUUAAGUCAGAUGUGAAAG
rnacentral:rRNA from 1 species